rnacentral:snRNA from 1 species
CCUCUUACCUGGCCAAAGAGAUACCAUGAUUAUAAAGGUGGUUUUCUCAGGGCAAGGCUUAUCCAUUGUACUGGGAUGUGUUGACCCUCUUGAGUUCCCCAAAUGUGGAAAUCAAGAUAAUUUGUGGGGGUGAGGGAGCACUGCAUUUUGGGGUAGGGGUGGAAAAUGAGGUUGUCUGUUCCCAUA